AUUAAGGUAGUCUAAUAAGAUAUUUGAUUUCGACUCAAAAGAACUUAAUACUUAAGCCUUAGUA
rnacentral:tRNA from 1 species